GACAGAGGGUCUCGCUAUUGGAGAAAUUGAAGCCAAACGUCUAAAAUGAACAACGCAACCUCAACGAAAUAAUAUUGUUUUCGUAUGGCUCAGUGAGAGGCUUCCCGACAAUGUCAGGUGGUUCUAAGACGACGGAUCUGUUCUUAUAUGUUUGAGAUCCUCUUAACUUGCUCAAAAAUUGCUUCCCCUAGAGCUUUGGUUUCUAUGACAAAUGUUUGAGGAAGUACGGGAAUGCAAAUGUCUGGGAGUAUUUCACUGAAGUUUUUGAUUAUCUUCCUCUUAUUGUCCUCAUGGAGAGUCAGGUUUUCUGUUUGCAUGGAUUACAUUUUUCACAUAUUCUUGUGGUAUGCGGUGAUGGGAAGACAGAGAGCAAAAAGAUGCUCAUUCAGUUGCCUACAUUGGGAUAAUUGUCAAGAGUGAAGGACGAACGUACAAACCGUGGAGCAACAAGUAUGUAAUUGAUAGGUUUCAGUUUGCAGGAAGAACAUAGCAACGAGGAUGAUGGAAGCUUGGGGGAGAAGAAACAUACGAGACAAGGUUGGUCAACAUGGAUAGCAAAGACUCUGGUGGAAAAGUCUUCUGCUAAGACUUCUUAACUGUCAUAUAAAUAAGACGCCUAGAUUCUCAUUUUUGUAAACGUUUCGGAGUGCGAUUUGAAUAAGAUCUUUAGCUUCUUAAUACUUUUGGGUCGAACAAAUUGUGAUUACAGUAGUAGAUCGUGUUGAUAAGUGAGUUCCAAGUAAAAAACUUAUCAUUAAUAAGUUACAAAAAAAAAAACUUAUCAUUAAUUUACUAAAACCCAAGGCAACACUUAGAGCCUGACUUGUUCAAACGCGCGGAAG